AAAGUCGUAACAAGGUUUCCGUAGGUGAACCUGCGGAAGGAUCAUUAGUGAAUUUAUUCCCCUUCGGGGGCUGCGAAAGGGCCUCCGGGUUCCGAUCGUACAAUACACAUCCAUAACACCUGUGAAAUGUCUUGUCAAGCUCAGCGUCCUCCGGGCCGCUGGACUUGUCAUACCACAAACUUACUUUGUAAAAAAUGUCGAAUUAUUAUAAUCUAAUAAAACUUUUAACAACGGAUCUCUUGGCUCUC
rnacentral:misc_RNA from 1 species